GGUUUGUAGCUCAGUGGCAGAGUGCUUGUCUAGUAUUUGUGAGGCACUAGGUUCAAUCCUUAGCACCA
rnacentral:tRNA from 1 species